GUAGCUCAAUUGGCAGAGCAGCUGACUUGUAAUCAGCAGGUUGCGGGUUCGAGUCCCAUC
rnacentral:tRNA from 1 species